CGCUAUAUUUCAGAAAAAUCGUCUACAGCUUAGUAACGCCUUCGAUACGUAGGUAGACAAAAAAGUAAGAUCAAUGAUUAAUGAAAUUUAUUCAUGUGUACCACUGUACACAAAUACUAUAUUCAACAAAGAACGAUACGUAGAUAGAGAUAGAGAUUCUACGGUGUGCUCGGAGCAAGGAUAGCCAUAAGGUUGGAUGAGGUGAGCACAGAGACCAUCUGCCGGAGAAUUGGGAAGGCGAAUUUUUGAAACUCUGGCGGAUUCUCCGGCUGAACUGAGGAGUAAUACACUGAGCAACAAAAGCGUCACCAGACGCUCCAUUUUCAGGCCACUGGAGUGCGGAAAACACAGCGGAACGACGGACCAACAGGCUGGGACCUCCCGGGAGAGGAGAGUGUGGAGUCUCACAAUGCUCCAGAAGAAAGAUGCGUUCACAGGAAACCGAACGAGACAGAAUAUCAAGAAGAUUGUUUAGCUGCAGGGAGAACUUGAGAAGCUCCGCCCCUGUGUCGGUCAAGGACCUGCAUUUCUAAAAAAAUUCAACACUUUCUGAAAAAUUUCUUGUUUGGGUCUCCUCGAAUCCUCCGUUCCCUUUACUGUACAGUAUACAGUAAGAAUAGACAUAGAAUCGCAUCUAAGUAUCUAACGUGAAAAAAAAAAAAAAAAAAAACUUCUAAUACAAGAGUAAGGGUUGAUAUAUAAUAGAAUCUAACGUGUUAAAAAAAAAAAGAAGAAAGAUAGAGUAUAAAGAGAGAGAUUCUCUUCUGUCCACUUGGUACCGACACAAACGCUCUCUUACAGCGCGUCCGGUAUACCUUUCUUUGCUCAAGAGCCAAGCAUAACGUUAGUUGAUAAAGCGGAUCUAGGAGUGGGCUAUAAAAGCUCACCUAUUUGGGCUAUAACAGUACAACAAUCAUGGGCUUGUCACUGGUCGAUUUUUAAAAAUCAGGCUAGUCCGCUGAGCUAAUUGUUUAAGAACUUUUAACAUUUCCGUUACUAAACUUUCGUAUUGUGGGCUAUAACAAAGUACGGGCUUGUCGUUGCAAGUGCCGUGGAAUCCAUUGCACUAAUUAGAGUGAAUAGGUAUUCCAAAUUCCGCUCAACCGGUCAAGAGUGACUUGCACGGUAAUCAUGAGAUUUUCGAUCUGUUUGGAGUUGCGACAGCUUAUUUAAAAAUACUAAAGUUUUUAAUAAAAAUAUUUAUUAACUGCUAAGUGCUUUUAAAUAUAUUAUUUGGAGAGACAUAAUUUAAUCAGUACUUGUUGUAUUAAAUAAUGUGUAAUUUAAAUUUUUUAAAAAAUAUUUAUCUCUUUAUUUGGUAUAACAUAUAAUUAAAUUGGAUGUUUUAUUUUUUAAAUCAUAAAAACUACUCUAAAAGCACUAAAUUUGAGCUUUUGUUAAAGUGAUUUGAGCUUUUGUUAAAGUGCUUUUAACACCAAAAAUUCUACUCCUAAUUUUAUGGGAUGAUAUUCACCAAACAUUUUAAAAGUACUUUUUAACACCUAAAAGUGCUUUUUUCUUAUCAAAAGCACCGGAACCCAAACAGGGCCUUAGUAACUACCAAAUUUUCUGAAUGACUUCAAGAACCUAAUCAUGUCAUCAUACAAGUCUUCCUUUGAUCUUACACUCAGGAGGAAGUCUAUGUGACCGUAUUCCUCAAGAAAAAGCACCUCUGGCUGGCUUUUUAGUUCCUUCAGUGUGUGCUGCACAUCAGUAACGUCAGCUAAUGCAUCGUUACCCCCAUAAGCCAUCCACAAUGGUAAAGAAUUCGGAAUGCUGCUAACAUCAAAUGCUGGAGGCUGCAAUCGUCCAUAGCGUAUCAGGUUCUUCAAGAUUCCAUAAUCAUACAUUCUGAAAGUACCUUCACGGAUCACUGGAAAAUAAACACAAUUCAAUGGGUAGGAACUAGCAGAGUAAGAGCGAAUGUAUGAGAAAAAAAUGAGGAAAAAGGCUACACAGACUUAGCCUGGUAUAGCAAGUUUGAAAAACUUCAGCAAACCAAAAGGCCAAAGAAAAUAUCCUGCUAGUGCAUACUUUGAAAAAGAUGAUUCAGAUUCUUUGAGGAUGUAGGUUCAGGUUCGUAUUUGAGAUAGAAAUCAAUCCGGGAGAUGUUGAAGCAACAGUUCUUUCCUGAAAUGUUAAUCCACCAUCUAAUAAGAUACAGAUGGCAAUAUAAUAGUUUAACCAUUCUAAACACUCGACUAAUUACUUCCCAACUUGCUCUACAGUGCUAGAUUGCUAGCAGAAAAGCAAAGCAGAAGAGUUUGUUGUGAAAUGAAUUUUUUUCUUUUAAAGGCCAAAUAACAGAACACGAAUAAGGACCUGUAAUCGGAGUAAGCAAGUCACUGCAAUUCGCAUAUUCAUCGCAUACCAUAUCCAGCAUAUGGGUGCCCCAGUCACUGAAUAGAUAAUAGAACAUGUCAGAAAGGAAUAUAUAAACCGAAGAUAUGUGGAAACCUGAUUGAAAGAAAGAGCCAAAAUUAACUGGAAACCUUUUGAAAUUAAGUUCAUGAAUGCCCAUCACAAGUAACACCUGCUUAGAGAAAAAUGACAACUUAAGCACACUGACAAAUAAGCCCUGAUGGGAAUGCUCGAAAAGAAACCACACAAACCUCAUCAAUAUGCAUUUUCACUAAUCUUAAGACAAAAGAAGCACUUAUAUGAUCCAAAAAUGAGAUAGGAGAAAGAAGCGCAGCAGCUUCAACCAUUGAUACUAUAUGUGGUUGAGUAAAAGCAGCCAGAGACAUUAUUGUUCCCUGCAAAAUAAAGCAAAGGACAUAGAAUAUCAGAAAAACAAAAACCACCAACCAAAUGAAGAAAUAACAUAGUUCUCAAGAGAUUCAAGACCUGUGAAUGACCAACAAUAAAUAUUUUUGAAUUGGUGAUGUUAUAAAUAUAACGAGCCAUUCCUUCCAGAUCAUACAGAGCCAAUUCCUGCCAACUCCAAUCCCAAAAAUCCUAAAAAAACAAGAGAAGAAACAAUUAAAGCAAGAGGGUUCAUAAAGCACAUCUAGUUUAUGCAAAAAGAAUAUUUUUGCUGCAUCCCAGAUCAGGACAAGACCAUGCAGAAGUAACUUGUGAAAUAAAUUCUACAUAUAGAGGGAGGAUGGUGGUCCACCACUCCUGCUCUUCUGAGCAUUAACCAUUUGAUGGCUAAGGUUUCAAAGCAAUUCAUAUUUAUACCUUGCUUUUACCUGAGUAAUCAAAUCAUGACAAGUCAAUAUAUGAAUGUAAUUUGAAAACCUGUACUACAUUACAAUUUACAACAGUUACAGCACUUAAAGAUUAUAACCAGAUGUCAAAGACAAGCUAUAAAUACCUUGUCUUUUUCAGUCAGAGAGACAUGUCCACGACUCCAACGUGUCCCACGCACAUUUCCAGCCCAAACAUCAAAGCCAUGAUCAGCCAGGAUAAACCCCAAUGAUUGAUUUGGAGAGUUCAAGAACCAGGCAUCACCUGCCUGUUAUAUUUUUCAGUUGCUCAAUUGUUAAUAUACGAGACUGCAACCCAAUCCUUUCUUUAUAUUACAUUCACAAAAUGGAAGAGGGGGGGGGGGAGGACAAUUACCAUUUCUGUGAGUCUAGAUAAGGCUAAUCAUGUUUGGUAAAGAUCUUUGUAAUAAUAAAGUAGCAUUUCCUAUAGAUGCGAAAGCCAUUUUAGCUUAUAAUUUUAACCAAAACCAAGAUGCAUGGACGAAAUAAUUUACAGCUUACACACUGAAUUUUGACAUAGUAAUACUCUUACAGCUUGAAUAUGCACACAUUUAUGGAACCAUCAGUCAGAAUCAAAUUUGCUCAUUGAGGGAAGCACAUAGCACACAAGUGGGAGGCUAGUAGCAGGGAAAAGGCAAGAAAGAGUAUUGAGAGAUAGAUGUGGCAACAGGAAAUAAGUAACUGUCAUCAAUAAUAACCUCUCAUUUUCUACAGAAAGAUAAAAGCUACUAAUAUAGGCAAAGUAGCUCAGCAAUCAGGUAGGAGUUUUGACAAUAGGCCUGCGUUAGCAUUUCAAAAAGAAAGUUACGCAUAGCAAAUUCUGCAAUAGUAUAGUGCAUCAGAUUUAUAGUUAGGACAAAGUAAAGACAAUGUGGGAAGUUUCCUGUUUCCAAUGAGUAAGCCAGCAUUGGCUCUGAGGCAGCUGGUAUGCAUAAAGGAAAAGAUCUUAUCCAUGCCACCAUGCGGUAGUCAGUGGGGGUAGGGAAACUUCUUUAGGUAAACUCUUAUAAAUCUAAAAUCACGUAAUUGUCCUUUAAUUACAAAUAUGCAUAUAAUCCAAGAAAUUAAAAUAAGCAAGCAGCACGGGUUCCAUAGUUAGUUGCAUCACUAAGAAUGGUGGCUUAUUGUACACUUUCCAAUUCUUCAUUGUGCAAAAUUUGUUGACAUAUCUUGCCUAAGAGCUGUGAUGGACGCCAUUUGAUCUAACACAUAAUAAUUGCAUUACAUUUUUACCAGUCACAUGGGAAAAAAUUCACAAAAAUCUCACAUACAUUACAAGGAGGCACCAAAGCACUAAGAAUGCACAAUUCCGAUAACCAACAGAUCUAACUAAAGAAGACAGUGAACUGAAAAAUAAACUUUUGUACCAUAAAACAGUUUUGACUGCACAAAGUAGUAACAGUAAUGAUGAUUGGUAAAUAUCUUCCAUAGAACUGGAAUUUAAAAGAACGAAUACAGCUAAAUUCAAAUGCAGCCUCUCCAAUAUGAUUUUUUUUUCUUUUUCUGAAAAAAAAUAAAAUAGAAAUCAUGUAAACGAAUUAUAUUAGGAGAAAUUACCAUCAUUAGCCCGUGAAGGAGAAGAACUGGAGGACCGUAUUGCCGUCUGAGAUAUCUGGAGUUAGAUGCCACCCGCUGAAGACCAAGCAAGUAACCAUCCUUUGUUUGUGCCUGCAUCAACAAUUCCACAUUCUUAAACUAAAUCACCUGUACGCUAUAUUUCAGAAAAAUCCGCCUCCAGCUUAGUAACGCCUUCAAUACAUAGGUAGACAAAAAAGUAAGAUCAAUGAUUAAUGAAAUUUAUUCAUGUGUACCACUGUAUACAAAUACUAUAUUCAACAAAGAACGAUACGUAGAUAGAGAUAGAGAUAGAGAUUCUACGAUGUGCUCGGAGCAAGGAUAGCCAUAAGGUUGGAUGAGGUGAGCACAGAGACCAUCCGCCGGAGAGUUGGGAAGGCGAAUAUUUGAAACUCUGGCGGAUUCUCCGGCCGAACUGAGGAGUAAUACACUGAGCAUCAAAACCGUCCGCAGACGCUCCAUUUUCAGGCCACCGGAGUGCGGAAAACACAGCGGAACGACGGACCAACAGGCUGGGACCUCCCGGGAGAGGAGAGUGCGGAGUCUCACAAUGCUCCAGAAGAAAGAUGUGUUCGCAGG
rnacentral:lncRNA from 1 species